rnacentral:ncRNA from 1 species
AUUCACUAGGGGAGCCAUCUGGCUGAGAGGAGUAUUCCGACCCUUGGAACCUGUUGGGUUAAGACCUGCGUAGGGAAGUGAC